CAGCAGCCGCGGGAAUACGAAGGGGGCUAGCGUUGCUCGGAAUGACUGGGCGUAAAGGGCGCGUAGGCGGAUUGUUUAGUUAGGCGUGAAAUUCCUGGGCUUAACCUGGGGACUGCGCUUAAUACAGGCAGUCUAGAGUGAGGAAGAGGGUUGUGGAAUUCCCAGUGUAGAGGUGAAAUUCGUAGAUAUUGGGAAGAACACCGGUGGCGGAGGCGGCAACCUGGUCCUUGACUGACGCUGAGGCGCGAAAGCGUGGGGAGCAAACAGGAUUAGAUACCCCCGUAGUCCCUGUCUCUUAUAC
rnacentral:rRNA from 1 species